AGGCAAAUAAAAAUUGCAGAAAGGAUAUCCUAGGAUUGCAAGUUCAUGGUUCUGCUGAUAUCACAUUUCCGUGUAGAAAAAUUCUAUUCACAAUCCUUUUAAUCUCUUUCUUCUGAUCAUUCUCUUGCGUGGUAUCAAAUACGAUGCAAGGAUGAAGGCAAAAAAAAAAAAAAAAAAAAAAGAUAAGUAACACUUCUCUAUUACAUAAUUCAAAUUGCAGUUGUGGUAAUUGAUAUGUCACUAUUCCUUGAAAAAUAGGUUCUGGAAGUAGCUCCGACAAAAAUUAGAAACAGUAGCUCUUGUUGUUGGUGCUUCACCGGGACAUAAAGGCAUAACUGUGGACAAAUCGGUGGAGUUCUCAUUUGAAGAGCUUGCAAAGUCUACAAAUGACUUCAGUCUGGAUAAUAAGAUUGGGCAAGGUGGCUUUGGAUCGGUUUUCUAUGCAAAACUAAGAGGAGAGAAAGCUGCAAUUAAGAAGAUGGAUAUGCAAGCAUCAAACGAAUUUCUUGCUGAACUCAAGGUUUUAACACAUGUCCAUCACUUGAACCUGUUCGAUUGAUAGGAUAUUGUGUUGAAGGCUCCUUAUUUCUAGUUUACGAGUACAUUGAGAAUGGCAACUUAAGUCAACAUCUGCGUGGCUAAGGUGAGAAGGAUAAUAUUUUUCAGGGAGGGAACCAUUGCCAUGGUCAACUAGAGUUCAAAUUACAUUGGAUUCAGCCAGAGGACUUCAAUAUAUCCUUGAGCAUACUAUUCCAGUUUACAUCCAGUACCGUGAUAUUAAAGCAGCAAAUAUAUUAAUAGACAAGAACUUCCGUGCAAAGAUUUUGGGCUAACAAAACUCGCUGAAUAUGGAAGUGCUUCUUUGCACACACGUCUUGUGGGUACAUUUGGAUACAUGCCUCCAGAAUAUGCUCAAUAUGGUGAUGUUUCCCCCAAGAUAGACGUAUAUGCUUUUGGAGUUGUGCUCUAUGAACUAAUAUCUGCCAAAAAAGCUAUUGUCAGGACAAACGAAUAGGUUCCUGAAGCAACAGGACUUGUUGCCUUGGUUGCUUUCCACUCCCUCCCCUUACUUUCUAGUUGUGAUAUACCUUGGAAAAUCUUUCUUAAUUUUUAUUUGAGAAUUUACCCAAGUUGGUAAUGCAGUUCGAAGAUGUUCUUAGCCGGCCAGAUCCAAAAGAAGAUCUUCAUAAACUUGUGGAUCCUAGGCUUGGUGAUAAUUAUCCACUAGACUCUGUCAGUAAGGUGAUCCAUCUAAUUCAAUAAAUAUAUAUACAUGGGGACUGGUAAUCUUUUGUCCUCUUAAAGUCAUCUGUGGCUGAUUUUGUUGCGGAUGGCUCAGCUUGCCAAAGUUUGCACACAAGAAAAUCCACAACUAAGACCAAGCAUGAGAUCUAUCGUAGUUGCGCUAAUGACACUUUCAUCUUCCACUUAGGACUGGGUAUUGGUUCUUUCUAUGAAAAUCAAGCUCUGGUCCAUCUGAUGCAGGAAGGUAGCUCAUGAAGAAGCCAGCAAUGUCUUGAAAAAUGACCUCAUUAAGACAAAGAGACAAAGCUUAAAUCUUUGUUUUCUGAUGUCUAUAGAUCUGUAAAAUGCAAAUAUCAAAAACCAAGUUCGGUAGAGAAUUUUAGAGAAGGUGGGGGAUUGGUUUAUGAAAUUGUUUCAAUUUCUCUAGAUUUUUGUUGUGCUACGUAACAUUCAUCCUUAGCCUUUUGCCCUCGUGAAUAUAUGUUUUUCUCUACAUAUUUAUUCAAGGGAAAAUGAUGUUGUGCAGCUCGGGCAGUACUGCUUAAGUGUAUUACUUGGGAAAAAAAUAUUCUUUUUUUACUUAAUGAUUAAAAAAGUAAUUUUAAGUGUA